GACGUAGGGCGCGAGCGUUGUCCGGAUUUAUUGGGCGUAAAGAGCUCGUAGGCGGUUUGUCGCGUCGGGAGUGAAAACCCAGGGCUUAACUCUGGGCUUGCUUUCGAUACGGGCAGACUAGAGGUAUGCAGGGGAGAACGGAAUUCCUGGUGUAGCGGUGAAAUGCGCAGAUAUCAGGAGGAACACCGAUGGCGAAGGCAGAUCUCUGGGCCGUAACUGACGCUGAGGAGCGAAAGCGUGGGGAGCAAACAGG
rnacentral:rRNA from 1 species